GAUCAGCAAUACACUUCUUUCCUUUAGUAGCUUUCAAGUUACUAUCAUCGUAAGCUGGCAAAUUUAAUAUUGCGUGUCUUGGAUGGUGGGAGCAAAAAAGCCUAUUUAACCUGAACAGAACCCACACUUGUCCAUGUUAUGCUUUAUCUAUUUGUUCAUUCAUUCAUUCUGUCAACACACUUACGGUAAACUCCUGUGUGUAACAUGUUACGCUUGUGUCUAGGUCUGCAAAUAACCCCAUGUUUAGAAGUUCAUGGUCAGCAGGUUCCUCAGCAAACUCUGCCAGUGCCGCCCACUGACCCAAGCAGAGGAAGCAGAUGCAUCUUGAACAGAUUUUCACAUGGAAUGUAGUAUCUCUCCUCAUGCUGUCUGGACAGGAAUACAGGUUAACUCUAGGAAAGCUGCAAGUUACAGCAGAUUGAGCGUGAACUUAGGAGCCAGCAGGUCAAGCCAUGGCACUCAGUAGUUGGAUAAACUUGGGCACAUUACCUAACCUUCUGAACUGUAAAAUGGAGCUAAAGAUAAAACUCCUUCCAAAGAGUUGUUAUGACAAUUAAAUGCAAUGUUUUAUAUGAAGUCCUUAGUACAACUACAUGCAGGAAGGAUUUGCUCGAGUUUUAUGGCUCUUAUUAUUGAAAACAAAGCAUAUCAAAAACAAAACCCUUUACCUAUUUAAUCUGGAGUCAAUAUUCUGCACAAAAUGACACUUUUAUAAUUAGUUGCUAUGAUUAUUCACAAAGCAUUGAAUAAGAACUAGUAGCUAAAAUAGGCCAGUGUUAACAAGAUUGACUUGGUGAGCUUAGAAAAUACAGAAGAUCUACCUCAGGGAAUUCAUACACUCCUUCAUUUUCCAUGGCUUAUUGAAUCCAGGUAAUCAGGUAGAGGAGUUUUGCUGUUGUUACUGCUGCUCUUUGGCUUUUUAAUAAUGAAAGACUGAGGCAAAUGAUGCAGAUCAGCAAGGGUCGCAAACAUGCAGCAAUUUUUUCCUGAAUCCACAUUUCGAAGGGGUGGCUUGUUGCUCAUAAAGUUAGCUACAAACCGUGCAGGAAGUCAAGUCAUUAAAAGGAAUAUGUGAAAACAGCUGUGAAAUUUUUCAUCUUUUUCAAAUAAGGAUCUGGGCAUGAAGAAGAAAACAUUGGACCAGUCACGCAUCCUGAGCUUAGGUUUACCUGGCGAGGCAGGAAUUUUCCUUCCAACAUCUCUUCAUAGAUAUAGGUGUACACAAAGUUUCCAGAUAAUUUGAGGCGUGCUUUUUAUACCCACUUUUAUACCCAUGGCUGUCACUGUUAUAGAAACUGUGUCCCUCAUGCUGCAGUAUCUCAGAAACAGAGGCAGAAUUUAAUCAUCUCAUCCUCUGAUGUGAAGGUCUGUAUGGUUUAAUAUGCACACAUCACAGAUUUCAAAAUUUGCUGCUGAAAUUCA
rnacentral:lncRNA from 10 species